AGUGAACGCUGGCGGUAGGCCUAACACAUGCGAGUCGAACGGCAGCACAGUAAGAGCUUGCUCUUACGGGUGGCGAGUGGCGGACGGGUGAGGAAUACAUCGGAAUCUACUUUUUCGUGGGGGAUAACGUAGGGAAACUUACGCUAAUACCGCAUACGACCUACGGGUGAAAGCAGGGGAUCUUCGGACCUUGCGCGAUUGAAUGAGCCGAUGUCGGAUUAGCUAGUUGGCGGGGUAAAGGCCCACCAAGGCGACGAUCCGUAGCUGGUCUGAGAGGAUGAUCAGCCACACUGGAACUGAGACACGGUCCAGACUCCUACGGGAGGCAGCAGUGGGGAAUAUUGGACAAUGGGCGCAAGCCUGAUCCAGCCAUACCGCGUGGGUGAAGAAGGCCUUCGGGUUGUAAAGCCCUUUUGUUGGGAAAGAAAAGCAGCAGGUUAAUACCCCGCUGUUCUGACGGUACCCAAAGAAUAAGCACCGGUUAACUUCGUG
rnacentral:rRNA from 1 species